GGAGAGGGCUAGCGUUAUUCGGAAUUAUUGGGCGUAAAGGGCGCGUAGGCGGAUUAGUAAGUUAAAAGUGAAAUCCCAAGGCUCAACCUUGGAAUUGCUUUUAAAACUGCUAAUCUAGAGAUUGAAAGAGGAUAGAGGAAUUCCUAGUGUAGAGGUGAAAUUCGUAAAUAUUAGGAGGAACACCAGUGGCGAAGGCGUCUAUCUGGUUCAAAUCUGACGCUGAGGCGCGAAGGCGUGGGGAGCAAACAGGAUUAGAUACCCUGGUAGUCCACGCUGUAAACGAUAAAUGUUAAAUAUGGGGAGUUUACUUUCUGUAUUACAGCUAACGCGUUAAACAUUCCGCCUGGGGACUACGGUCGCAAGAUUAAAACUCAAAGGAAUUGACGGGGACCCGCACAAGCGGUGGAGCAUGUGGUUUAAUUCGAUGCAACGCGAAAAACCUUACCACUCCUUGACAUGGAAAUUAUACCUAUUCGAAGGGAUAGGGUCGGUUCGGCCGGGUUUCACACAGGUGU
rnacentral:rRNA from 1 species